CGGUCACACGCGUCCAAGAGGCGCUUCCUGGAAGAAGGGGGUCAUCAAGUUCACUCAGAAGAGACAAAGAGCGAGGAAGGCCCCGCGGGACGCGAACCCCGGCACCCGGGCCAGGCGGCAGCGCCGCCCCCCAAGCAGGGAGUGUGGGUGUGGCAGCAACCCAGCAUCUACCAUGCCGACCAUGUGCCAUGCCAUGCACCGCGUGUCGUAACAGGACAACAGAGCAAGAGACCCAGCAGACAGGGGUCCCCAGCAACCUCAUGAAGCGCCAUCCACUCACCUCCAGACAGUCUGGGGAGAGAGACUGAAACUUCUGUCUAAGCCACUUCAUCUUUGAUCUCCUUGUUUUUGUGGUUCAGGUUGUAUCUUAAUAAAUAAAACGUGUUUGAGUUCAUGUUUACAUCCAACCAUUAAAAAAGUAUAUUUUGCCAUGAGAUAAACAAUGAGACCCUGCACGAGAUGAAAUAUUUCCAUGGUCACUCGUCAUCUCCUUACAGAGAAUUACUAAGAUUUUAUUAAAACAGUGUAGAUUAUGAGAGUAUGGUGACUCUAAAGUGAAGUUUACAUUCAGAUGACCCCCAGGCCCGCGUAUGGAGCUCCGGUUCUGUAGCUGAAGAUGGGACAGAGGUGCAGGGAGAGCUGCAGUCGCGUUCUCGGAGGCAUGGCCCCGUGUUGAUCGGACACGUCAUGUUCAGUCAGUGCCAUGCAGGUGUGCAGCGGACGGUCUGGCUGAGGCCGGGGGUGCCACGGUCCCCCCGUCUGCUGAGUAGUAGCAAAGCUGAAUAUUUUCCUGGAAACAUUUUGUGCGCCCCUGGGGUGUGCUGCUGGGGACAAUGGGAAGUCUUUGGAACUCAGGAGCAGCGCACGCUUGGUAUUUGUGCUGGAAGAUGACCAGCCACAGACUGGAGAUCAGGAUGGCCCGAGACCAGGGCCACUGCUGACCCUGGGCAGGGAGGACACAGUGUGGCAGAGGCCUGCAUUGGUGGGAUGGGAGGAGGCCUUGCUGGAGAGCUCAGAGGUGGAAUAUGGUGGUCUCAUGUGGCUUCUCUUACCACAGACCCCAAGACAAAGGUGCCCACUGGUGGGAGGCUAUGACCAUUGUGCUGAGUCGCACGACCUGGAGCAUCUCUGAGAGAGCAGAACUCACCGUCCCCACUGCAUAGCUCUUCAGGCCCAGGGCUUUCGAGGAAGAAACAGGUGAUCAUCUUCCACCUGGCAGCUCCCAGGAGACGGGUGGGGUCAGUGGACCCUGUUCGCAGAACUAAAGGCGGGAAGACCGUGGCUUCCAUUCACCUCCUCAGAAGUGAGCCAAGGGCCCUGGGCUGGCGACAAGGACUCUAAGGAGCUUGCGGGACCGUGCGGUGUUCGUGACGACAAGGACUCUAAGAAGCUUGCAGGACCGUGCGGUGUUCGUGACGACAAGGACUCUAAGAAGCUUGCAGGACUGUGCGGUGUUCGUGACGACAAGGACUCUAAGAAGCUUGCAGGACUGUGCGGUGUUCGUGACUUCCCCUUGCCUGUUGUUUUUAAAAUCUUUUGUUAGUUUCUCUGUAGUUAUUGGCAGAAAAAUCUUUAUUCGUGCCCCUGUUCAAGAUUAGCAAGAAAGAGGAAAUGUGGAAAAGCCACAUCCUGUUUUGCAGCCAGGCUUGUGUGUGGUGGAGGGACAGGGGACAGGACCCUACGGGAUGGGAUGAAGAGGGAUAAAGACGGCCUGGGAUGGAGACGGUGGGAAGGCGCCUGUGAUUCCUUAGAGCAGCACAGGCGGUGCAGAGGCUCCAGCUGGGGUCUGGAGGAUGAGGCUGCCAUCAAGCUCCACCAUGGGCCCUGGGGAGGGGUAGGCAGGGCAGGGGGACAGCCAGAGGAUGGGGAAGAGGAAUGGGUGUACCAUAGACCUACGGUGACAUGGAACAGGCACUAGUAGGAAGGCAGCCGGGUGUUUGGGGGCCCGGGCCACAGCAGAUUUCAACAAUAACAUGGACAAAACAUGGAAAGAGCAAAGAAGACAGUGCAGGUGGCCCACAAGCACAUGGAAAGGCACUUAGCUUCACCAGUCAGCAGGGAAAUGCGAAUCAAAACCACAGUGGGUCGUCACUUCACACCCUUUAGGAUGGGUAUUGUAAAAACAAAAACCAGAAAAGAACACGCACUGAUGAGGGCGUAGAGAGAUUGGAACCCUUGUGUGCUGUUGGUGAGAAUGUGAAAUGAUGCAGCUGCUCCAGAAAACAGCACGGCGGUGUAUUAGUCAGGGUUCUCCAGAGGGACAGAACUAAUGGAAUAGAUACAUAUAUAUGAAGGGGAGUUUAUUAAGUAUUAACUCACACAAUCACAGGGUCCCACAAUAGGCCGUCUGCAGGCUGAGGAGCAAGGAGAGCCAGUCCCAGUUCCAAAACAGAAGAACUUGGAGUCUGAUGUUCAAGAGCAGGAAGCAUCCAGCACGGGAGAAAGAUGUAGUCUGGGAGGCUAAGCCAGUGUCUGUUUUCACAUUUUUCUGCCUGCUUUAUAUUCUAGCCGCCGUGGCAGCUGAUUAGAUGGAGCCCAUCCGGAUUGAGGGUGGAUCUGCCUUUCCCAGCACACUGACUCAAAUGUUCAUCUCCUUUGGCAACACCCUCAGAGACACACCCAGGAUCAAUACUUUGUAUCCCUCAAUCCAAUCCAGUUGACACUCAGUAUCAACCAUCACAGGGGGUUUCUGAAAAGAAAUAAAAGAAAGAAAAGAACUACCAUGUGAGCCAGCAAGUCUACUUCUGGGUGUUUGCACACAGAAACUGAGUGCAGGGCCUUGAAGAGAUACGGGUACCCCCGUGCCCCUCACAGCAACAUUCACAAGAGCCAAGGGUGGAGAUAACCCAAAGUCCACUGAUGGGUGAAUGGGCGAGUGAGCAAGAUGGGGCCUUUCCGUACCAUAGAAUAUCACUCAGCUGUAAACAGGAAGGAGAUGGAGGAAACUGGAGGAUGUUAUGGUGAGUGAAAUCAGC
rnacentral:lncRNA from 1 species